rnacentral:rRNA from 1 species
AUGAAUCAAUCACCCAAGAAACAAGCAGAGGCGACACUCUAUAGCACCACGACGGUUUUCGUAGCCUCCGCUCCGACUUACAAACGAAAGCGCAAACACACAAGCCGAACCGAGGCCGCGCAACAAAUGAGCCACUGGUUCCGUGACCCGGGCCGGUCAGCCCCCUCCUACUUCAUCCCCUCCUUUACAUUCCUCAUGUUCCUCCGGUUGGUUGCGUCGUGCAAUAUCGAUCUCGGCGCAGAUUGUUCGUUCUAUUUUUUUUCCUUGUGCGGCAGAUCAUUCAUUUAUAUUUGUUGGAUCGAGCCUGACAUAAUAUGA